rnacentral:pre_miRNA from 1 species
CUAGUACUUUUCCAUCCAACAAAAGAUGUCUCAAGUUUGUCAAAAUUUGGAUGUAUCUAGACAUGACUUAGUGUAUAGAUGCAUUCAAAUUUGGUCAAAGUUGACACAUUCUUUGUUGGACGGAGGGAGUACAAC